rnacentral:rRNA from 1 species
UACGGAGGGUGCAAGCGUUGUCCGGAUUUAUUGGGUUUAAAGGGUGCGUAGGCGGUCUAUUAAGUCAGCGGUGAAAUACUCCAGCUUAACUGGAGGGGUGCCAUUGAUACUGAUGGACUUGAGUCAAGUCGAGGUAGGCGGAAUUGACGGUGUAGCGGUGAAAUGCUUAGAUAUCGUCAAGAACACCAAUAGUGAAGACAGCUUACUGGGCUUAAACUGACGCUGAGGCACGAAAGUGUGGGGAUCAAACAGG